rnacentral:rRNA from 1 species
GUCGGCGCAGCAGGCAGGCGAGCGGAGCUCACUCCCCCCUCCCACCCUCGCCGGUUUCCUCCCAAGAAGAGAAGAUGUCCGCCGUCCCCUCCAGGUAUGAAGAGAUUUCCUUGGCCCCUUCGCGCGCCAUUGCCGCCUCUCCCCCGCGCUUCUUGUUCCGGGCGAGUUCCGAGGUUUCCCUUGCUUAGACGAAUCUGCUCCGUCGUUCCGGGAGGAGGAGGGGGGAGGGGGUGGUUGCGGGAAACGAACGUCCUUUUUGCCACGAAAGGUGGUGGUUGCGGUGCUCCUUGCCGCGGUUCUUGGGGACCGCCAGCGUCGCUAAUGCGGUGCCGCGCUGUUCCUUGUGUCGGUGGAGCCAGAUUCCGGUGGGAUUUCCGCAGAUUCGUCUUUCCCGGGGCUUCGACCUGUGAGAUGCGGGCAGGGAUUGGGCUUUUUAGAGCUGAUUCAAGGUGUAGGUUGUACUAUGUGAGAAGGACAGCUGUGCACAUCAAGACUCAAAUUAGCUUCGCUUGAUUACACUUCAGCUGGCUGAAUAAUAAUAUAUACUUGAUUUUGGUGGUUCAAAAACAUGGGUUCUAGAUUUCCAUCACAUCAGCUGAGCAGUGGCCUUUAUGUUUCUGGCCGACCUGAGCAACCUAAGGAGAAGGCCCCGACCUUUGGAUCCAAUGUGAUGCCAUAUACUGGUGGUGACACCAAGAAAUCUGGAGAGCUUGGGAAGAUGUUUGAGCUCCAUGCUGAAAGAUCCAGAAAAUCUGGUCCUCUAGGCAGUGCGCCUUCGAGAAAUCCUUCAUUUGGUGGUGCUGCCUCCAACUCUGGACCUGUGUCUAAUGCUGGCGGUCGGUCAAACUACUCUGGUUCUCUUUCAUCUUCAGUUCCUGGCGCCGGAGGAUCAGCAAGAGCAAAAUCUAACUCCGGACCACUCAAUAAGCAUGGAGAACCAGUAAAGCGGUCAUCUGGUCCCCAGUCUGGAGGUGUGACCCCAAUGGCUCGCCAGAAUUCCGGCCCUCUCCCUCCAAUGCUUCCUAUGACUGGGCUUAUCACAUCUGGCCCUGUUACUUCUGGACCACUGAAUUCGUCUGGUGCCCCAAGAAGGAAAGUAUCUGGAUCUCUUGAUCCUGCUGCAUCGAUGAAGGCGCGGGCCACAUCGCUUGCUCACAACCAGGCUGUUACUACACUCACCAGUGAAGGUGGUUUCUCAGUUAUGGGAAGCAUUUCAAAGUGGGUAUUCUGGCUAGUGAUCACACUCUUGCUGUUCGGGUUUGCAGUAGGUCUCUUCAUUCUUAUUGCUGUUCACAAUGCGAUUGUGCUGAUAGUUGUUGUUGCAAUGAUUGGUUCUGUUGCUGCACUUGUGUCUUGGAAUGUUUGGCGGGGCAGGAGAGGCGUGCUCAGGUUUGUCAAUAGCUGUCCUGAUACUGAUCUCAGAACUGCAAAGGAUGGAGAGUAUGUGAAGGUUACAGGGGUUGUUACGUGUGGAAAUUUCCCCCUGGAGUCCUCAUUUCAAAGGAUUCCGAGAUGUGUGUACACUUCAACUAGGCUGUAUGAGUAUAGGGGCUGGGAUUCAAAAACUGCAAACCCCAAGCAUCGCCGGUUUACCUGGGGAUUACGGACAGCAGAGCGACAUGCGGUUGAUUUCUACAUUUCAGAUUUCCAGUCUGGGCUUCGAGCAUUGGUGAGAACAGGAAGUGGGGCACGGGUGACACCAUAUGUUGAUGAAUCGGUAGUAAUUGACGUCAAUCCUGAGAACAAGGACAUGUCUCCUGAAUUUCUUAGAUGGCUACGAGAAAGGAACCUCUCAAGUGAUGGUCGGAAAAUGCGCCUAAAAGAAGGAUACAUCAAGGAAGGCAGCACUGUGAGCGUGAUGGGGGUCGUUCAAAAGAAUGAGAGCGUGUUGAUGAUAGUACCUCCAUCAGAGCCCAUCUCAUCUGGUUGCCAGUGGGGGAGUUGUUUCUUCCCAGCGAACCUUGAAGGACUGGUCGUGAGAUGCGAAGAUACUUCAGACAUGGAUGUCAUACCAGUAUAGCAAGCUGAUGAUUGCCGUGGUGUGGAAUAGCUGCUGUUGAAGAGGGAAUGUUGGCCUGUCGAAUCUUUUGACCUCGGGUUGGGUUUGAUUGGUAGAGUAUUAGAACUGAGAAAAAAUGUACAAAUGUUAGGUGUGAUUAAGGCUAGUAAAGAUGGGAGUAUGGCUGCUGGUUAAUCUGUGUUUGGCUGUAUAGUCCUUUUUCAAUGUGUUUUGUCCUCCUUUGCUCCUGUUUUUUCGGUUAUGAGCUCUCAAUACUUGUGUAAUAUGAUUGCUUUUGGGCUGUUUGAAGACAUGUUGAAUCGGGUUUAUGUGUUAUUUAGGAUGAUCUUCUUGCACUGCUGUUAAAGCCUAAAUAUAUUGUUGCUGUUACAUUUAUGUAUCCAUGUUGUUGGUCCAUUGCAUCCAUUAUGUCUUUUGGCCUGUUUGAAGACUCGGU